GAGUGCUGCUCCUAUACAUGCAGUCGAGCGGACAGAUGGGAGCUUGCUCCCUGAUGUUAGCGGCGGACGGGUGAGUAACACGUGGGUAACCUGCCUGUAAGACUGGGAUAACUCCGGGAAACCGGGGCUAAUACCGGAUGCUUGAUUGAACCGCAUGGUUCAAUUAUAAAAGGUGGCUUUUAGCUACCACUUACAGAUGGACCCGCGGCGCAUUAGCUAGUUGGUGAGGUAACGGCUCACCAAGGCAACAAUGCGUAGCCAACCUGAGAGGGUGAUCGGCCACACUGGGACUGAAACACGGCCCAAACUCCUACGGGAGGCAGCAUUAGGGAAUCUUCCGCAAUGGACAAAAGUCUGACGGACCAACGCCCCGUGAGUGAUGAAGGUUUUCGGAUCGUAAAACUCUGUUGUUAGGGAAGAACAAGUACCGUUCAAAUAGGGCGGUACCUUGACGGUACCUAACCAAAAAGCCACGGCUAACUACUUGCCACCAGCCGCGGUAAUACGUAGGUGGCAAGCGUUGUCCGGAAUUAUUGGGCGUAAAGCGCGCGCAGGCGGUUUCUUAAGUCUGAUGUGAAAGCCCCCGGCUCAACCGGGGAGGGUCAUUGGAAACUGGGGAACUUGAGUGCAGAAGAGGAGAGUGGAAUUCCACGUGUAGCGGUGAAAUGCGUAGAGAUGUGGAGGAACACCAGUGGCGAAGGCGACUCUCUGGUCUGUAACUGACGCUAAGGCGCGAAAGCGUGGGGAGCGAACAGGAUUAGAUACCCUGGUAGUCCACGCCGUAAACGAUGAGUGCUAAGUGUUAGAGGGUUUCCGCCCUUUAGUGCUGCAGCAAACGCAUUAAGCACUCCGCCUGGGGAGUACGGUCGCAAGACUGAAACUCAAAGGAAUUGACGGGGGCCCGCACAAGCGGUGGAAGCAUGUGGUUUAAUUCGAAGCAACGCGAAGAACCUUACCAGGUCUUGACAUCCUCUGACAACCCUAGAAGAUAGGGCUUCCCCUUCGGGGGCAGAGUGACAGGUGGUGCAAGGGUUGUCCUCACCUCGUGUCGUGAGAUGUUUGGGGUUAAAUCCCCGCAACGAGGGCAACCCUUGAUCUUAAUUUGCCGCCAUUCAUUUGGGCCCCCUAAAGGAACUUCCCUU
rnacentral:rRNA from 1 species